AACGCACCUUGCGCUCCUUGGUAUUCCGAGGAGCAUGCCUGUUUGAGUGUCAUUAAAUUAUCAACUCCAUCAGUUUUGUUAUGAAUCUGUAUGAAGCUUGGAUGUGGGGGUUUGUGCAGGACGCUUCAAAGCUUACUGCUCCCCUUAAAUAAAUUAGCGAGUUCAAACUGGGCUCCGUCUAUUGGUGUGAUAAUUAUCUACGCCGUGGAUUGGGCUUAGACUUGCUUCUAACCGUCUGUAAAGACAAUCUUUUGACAAUUUGACCUCAAAUCAGGUAGGACUACCCGCUGAACUUAA
rnacentral:misc_RNA from 1 species